rfam:Oryza barthii chromosome 7, whole genome shotgun sequence.
AAAAAGACAAACCCUGAGUUUCCGUGUCCAACUUUGACUGUCCGUCUUAUAUGAAAUUAUUUUAUAAUUCGUAUUUUCAUUGUUGUUAGAUGAUAAAACAUGAUUAAUAUUUUAUGUGUGACUUGUCUUUUUAAUUUUGUUUUCAUAAUUUUUUCAAAUAAGACAAACGGUCAAACGUUGGACACGGAAACCAAUGUUUGUCUUCUUU